GGUGUGGCUCAAUUAGUAGAGUACUUGCCUAGCAUAUAAGAAGCCCUGGGUUUGAACCUCAGCACC
rnacentral:tRNA from 1 species